rnacentral:rRNA from 1 species
UACAGAGGUGGCAAGCGUUGUUCGGAAUUACUGGGCGUAAAGGGCGCGUAGGCGGUCUUGCAAGUCCUGUGUGAAAUCCCUCGGCUCAACUGAGGAACUGCACAGGAAACUGCUUGGCUUGAGUUCGGGAGAGGGAAGCGGAAUUCCGGGUGUAGCGGUGAAAUGACGUAGAUAUCCGGAGGAACACCGGUGGCGAAGGCGGCUUCCUGGACCGACACUGACGCUGAGGCGCGAAAGCUAGGGGAGCAAACGGG